CCAAUAGCGUAUAUUAAAGUUGUUGCAGUUAAAAAGCUCGUAGUUGAAUUUCGGGAUUGACGUGAUGGUCAUGCCUUAAGGGGUAUGAACUGUUGCUGUUGAUUUCUCACCUUCUGGAGAAACUUGAUGUCCUUUAUUGGGUGUCUUGCGGAUCCAGGACCUUUACCUUGACAAAAUUAGAGUGUUUAAAGCAGGCAUUUUUGCUCGAAUACAUUAGCAUGGAAUAAUAGAAUAGGACGGCAUGGUUCUAUUUUGUUGGUUUCUAGGAUCACCGUAAUGAUUAAUAGGGAUAGUUGGGGGCAUUAGUAUUCAAUUGUCAGAGGUGAAAUUCUUGGAUUUAUUGAAGACUAACUACUGCGAAAGCAUUUGCCAAGGAUGUUUUCAUUAAUCAAGAACGAAAGUUAGGGGAUCGAAGACGAUCAGAUACCGUCGUAGUCUUAACCAUAAACUAUGCCGACUAGGAAUCAGACGAUGUUAAUUUUUUAAUGACUCGUUUGGCACCUUACG
rnacentral:misc_RNA from 1 species